rnacentral:rRNA from 1 species
UUGGAGGGCAAGUCUGGUGCCAGCAGCCGCGGUAAUUCCAGCUCCAAUAGCGUAUAUUAAAGUUGUUGCAGUUAAAAAGCUUGUAGUUGAAUUUCGGGAUCAAUUUAUUGGUCGUGCCAACGGUACGCACUGGUACAAUUGGUUUCUCCCUUCUGACGAAGCAUGAUGUCAUUAAUUUGAUGUCGUGGGGAAUCAGGACUGUUACUUUGAAAAAAUUAGAGUGUUUAAAGCAGGCUUUGGCUUGAAUACAUUAGCAUGGAAUAAUGAAAUAGGACGUUUGAUCUUAUUUCGUUGGUUUCUAAGAUCGACGUAAUGAUUAAUAGGGAUAGUUGGGGGCAUUAGUAUUCAAUUGUCAGAGGUGAAAUUCUUGGAUUUAUUGAAGACUAACUACUGCGAAAGCAUUUGCCAAGGAUGUUUUCAUUAAUCAAGAACGAAAGUUAGGGGAUCGGAGACGAUCAGAUACCGUCGUAGUCUUAACCAUAAACUAUGCCGACUAGGGAUCGGAUGAUGUUAAUUUUUUAAUGACUCAUUCGGCGCCUUACGGGAAAC